ensembl:misc_RNA 7SK 7SK RNA
GGAUGUGAGGGCAACCUGGUUGUGACAUCUGUCACCUUAUUGAUUUCCAGGGUUGAUUCGGCUGAUCUGGCUGACCAGGAAGAUAUCCCCUUCCUCCCUCACCACCCCAUAUGCAUCCCUCCCAAAGCUGCACACUGAGUUCAAGAGGAUGACCAUCCCUGAUAGAGGAGGACUGCUUCCUUGGUCAAGGGAAUGUGAGUAGCUGGACUCCCCUGCUAGAACCUCCAAACAAGCUCUCAAAAGAUUAUACACUAAAUGAUUCUACUUAUGUAGCAUUCUGGAAAAAUCAAAACUAUAGUGAAAGAGAACAGAUCAAUGAUCACUAGGAUUCAGUGUGAGGAGACCGU